UCACUCCAAAAUACCUGAAGGGAGGGGUAAGAAGGAGGUUCAGCUCGAGUGACAGGCAAGAUUAUUUGGCUGAGCAGUUGCCACCAACACAGGAAGGAUCCAUGCUCAUCAUUGAACUUGAGAGAGCAACCAAUCUGAGAAGGGCAGAAACUGAAUAUAAGGCUGACAGCCAGCAAGCUUGUGUGUGGGUGCAAGGAAGCAAAGAAGAUAGCAGCAGAGGAAGACAGCAGAGCAAGAAGACAACAGAGUACAGACAGAAGAGUAGCACCAGCAAUGAAAAGAGGAAAGCAGACACAGGAGAGCAGUAGACAGAUCAAAAGGACCUGGAUGGUACAGAUGACUCAAGAAGACAGAGUGCUAUCUCCUAAGGAACAUGAGCAGGCUCAACAGCUACAACACCAGACCUAUCUGUUCAGAUAAAGCUGGUCUUAGGGAGGAGCCUGGGCACCAAACCAGAAGAAUCAAUUACUUACCCAAGUCUACUCACUGUGACUAUUUAUUUAUCACAUCUGCACAUCUACCUGCUCCACCCAUGAAGCUCCUAUGGCAGGAUCUGAGCCUUAAUCAUUAAACCUCAAAUAUUAACCAGUCCACUAAGUUCACCUUUCAUCAUGGAAUCUCCAGCGAUGUAAAGCUGUCAGAAAUGUCAUAAGCACUUCUGUGUCAGGCUGCGCCACCCCCCAAAGGGGCAUGUCAAUGGUGGGCUGAGGGCAUGACCCAAGGGACAAGAGUGGGUGUGGUGGAGCCAAGCUCCACUAUUGGCUAGUCACUGUUUUUUUGAAGCUUAUCCCAGCACUAGAGGAUAUGUCUUAACUGUGUUUAGUAAAGUGUCAUGUAUAAAUAUGGUGCUGAAUAAAUGUUUUAAGAUGAUCCUAUAGCUCAGUGUGACCCCAUUAGUGCCGAUAAAGCAGUGUUAUGUUCAUAAUCCACAGGGAAUUGCAUUCAGUUCAUCAACUAGUCAGAUGGUCGUAAUGCUAAUGCUGAAUCUUAAGAAAAGGAGAGGUAUACAAUAAAGGAAAUAUCAGGGAUGCAUUGGACCUCCUGCUUCGAAAAUGAAAGAAACAUAUUCAAUCCUGCAUGAAGGCCUACUUUCUAUCUAGAGGUGCCUUUAUGGCUCUCAACACCAUAUUGUUUGUGCACUGUGUUAGUAGCUGGGACCCGGCUUCAGCAAAGCAUUUGAGUGCUUUGAUGAAUUGAGGCUUGAGUGCCUGGUAACCCCUAUCAGUGAACACUUUAAAGCAUUUCCAAACUUUCCGGUACAAUACAGGUCAACUUCUAGCCAGCCAAGUCACGGGUUUUUAUUGAGCCAUUCAGUGGUCAUUUCAGGCAGCUUUUACUGUAAAUAAAAAUGAGAGAGAGAGAAAACACAAUGUUCAUUGAACCAAACAGCCACAUCCAAAUCCAGGCUUGCCCUCAAAGCAGUUUUCUCCUUCAGCAUUAAAAUCUAUACAGCGCAUAAUCCUGAGGAGUUUGAAUUGUGCACCACUUUCCAAAGUAAUGAAGCAAUAAGCCUUAAUGAAAUAACAUCUUCACAGUACACAGUUAGCUCCUUUGCCAGUGCUAUUUCUUUUCAAUUUUGAAGCCUAGAAAACACAAAUAGAAUAUCCUGGGUAUCACAAUAGUUAUAUAGUUACAACUGAAAGGAAUAAUGUACAGUAGUUUUUAUUUAUCCUGAUAAAAUAGAAUAUGAGGCCUGCUGUAAAUGGGACAUCUCAUUAGUUUUUCAUUCAAAGGAACACAUUUUAGACCUUUAUAAGAGUAGAUUGGUCUAAAAAGCCUGUUACACAAAUCCAUGAAAAUAUUUUCCAAAGAAUUAUAGAGCUUGUAAAUAAUGGGUGAAAAGUUGUUUUUUUAAUAUGUAUUCAACAUAAUAAAUGGAAAAUAUGUUAUGCCUUUCAGAAGAGCUAUGAGUGCAGUUUGAUUUUGUGGUGCAGGAGAAGAAGGGGAAGUUAACUGCAUGUUUAGAUAUUCCAGUGAAUGCAGGUCCUCAUGCCACAAAGCAAUGAGGCAAAAUCAAGCAAAAUUAUGCCACUAUUGAGAAGUAAUAGUUCUAACACAGAAGGAAAGACAGAAAGAAAAGGAGAGCAACAAAGUCCCUGUGGUGUUCUGUUGUUGUUGAUUAGUGUCUAUCUAUAUAUCUAUAUAUCUAUAUAUAUAAUGAUAAAUAAUACCUAGCCUUUAUAUUUUAUGUAUAAUAUACACAAUUCGUUUUGUGAAUUUACUGCUCUCCAAGUUUCAGUGGUCCAUUGCCAUUCACCGUGGUCAUUUGUAUUUGCAGUGUGUAUCUGUGUGUAGUAGGGAAGGGAGCAUAGAUAUUCUUAGAAUAAUGUCUGUCAGGAGUCUGGGGUACAUUUCAACAGUUAUGUCCCUCUGUUGUAGUAAUUAAGCACUGUCCUCUUUGCAGUGGCCUUUGCUGGACAUUAGUGCACAUAAUGCACAAUUAGAGCUGGGUGAUUUUUUUAUUAUUUUAAAAUAUUUUUACAAAUAGUAAAUUCAUUUAAAAAUCAUUUUUAGGGACACCUGAACUAUUUGCAAAAUUUAGGUCAAAUUCAAUACAAAGUUUUGAGUGGGGGGAAAAAUGAAAAUAAACAUUUUGGAAAUGUCUAAACAGUUUGUUUAGACAAAAAUAAACAUGAACUAUUUUGAAAAUGUCAAUUUGACAUUUCAAAAUAAAUGUCAAUUCAAAUCAACAUUCAAAACAUUUAGCUUUGACUAAUAUUUUUUUUUCUUUUCAGUUUUUCAUUUGGGUGCAAAGAAACAAACGGAGAAACAACAACAAAAUCACUUUCAAUUGGAAACCAUCUGAUUUUUUUUUCCAGAUUCUUUAGUUUGGCCACUGAACUGAAAAAUCAAUUAUUCACUCAGCUUUAAUCACAAUAUGACAAUUUUUCUAAGCUGACAAUGGCAAUCUACUGCAAAGACACAGCAGGGGUUUAUGGGCAAAGUGACUGAUUAAAGCAGAAUGUGUACUAUGUCUGCUGCUGGUCAAAGUGGUCAUUUUGUCACAGACAUUAAUGUCCACUACAGACCCAAACUUCAUGUUCCAUGAACAUUUGUAUGAACAGAACAUUGCUCGCAAGAACCUUCACAAAACCUAAUGCUAAAGGGGUAUGAAAAAUAUAAAUUGAAAUGUCAAUGCAUGUGUACGCUCCUUGAUUCACAUGCAAGUAUAGGUAUGUGUGCCUGCGAAUCAGGGCUAAUUUCUGCAUCAGAGGUGAGUGAAGGCACUUUAGGAAACCUUACCCUCUGUAUCUAAUAUGUUACAACAGCCCUAAACAGUUUCAGAAAUCAGUGGCAUGUAUUGACAGGAUGACACUAAAAUGUGGUUGUGUGUUUGGUUGGUUGGUUGGGUUUUUGUUUUGUUUUUUGUUUUUCCAUGUUUGAGUCAUCAUCUCUCCAUUAUCAAGUAUCAGGGGGUAGCCGUGUUAGUCUGUAUCCACAAAAACAACAGGGAGUCCGGUGACACCUUAAAGACUAACAGAUUUAUUUGGGCAUAAGCUUUCGUGGGUAAAAAACCACUUUUUCAGAUGCAUGGAGUGAAAAUUACAGAUGC